GCGUCAAUGGCCGAGCGGUUAAGGCGUCAGGUUUAGGCCCUGGUCUCUUCGGAGGCGUGAGUUCGAACCUCACUUGACGCA
rfam:Mucor ambiguus DNA, scaffold: scf_mam1_v10172, strain NBRC 6742.